rnacentral:rRNA from 1 species
AUAACCCACCGAAAGGUGAGCUAAUACCGGAUGAUGCAGCGGGGCCGCAUGGCCACAGUUGUUAAAUCCUUCGGGAGCCUAAUGAUGAACCUGCGUGCCAUUAGCUAGUUGGUAGGGUCAAAGCCUACCAAGGCAAUGAUGGCUAGGGGGUCUGAGAGGAUGAUCCCCCACACUGGGACUGAGACACGGCCCAGACUCCUACGGGAGGCAGCAGUGAGGAAUCUUGCGCAAUGGAGGAAACUCUGACGCAGCCACGCCGCGUGCUGGAAGACGGCCCUAUGGGUUGUAAACAGCUUUUACUAGGGAAGAACCUGGACCUUUCGAGGACCACUGACGGUACCUAGUGAAUAAGCACCGGCUAACUCCGUGCCAGCAGCCGCGGUAAUACGGAGGGUGCAAGCGUUGUCCGGAAUCAUUGGGUGUAAAGGGUGUGCAGGCGGAAGUCUAAGUCGGAGGUGAAAUCUUGCCGCUUAACGGUAAAAGUGCCUUCGAAACUGGAUUUCUU